UACGUAGGGGGCAAGCGUUAUCCGGAUUCACUGGGCGUAAAGGGAGCGCAGGCGGCACGGCAAGUCUGGUGUGAAAGCCCGGGGCCCAACCCCGGGACUGCAUUGGAAACUGCCGGGCUGGAGUGCCGGAGGGGUAAGCGGAAUUCCUGGUGUAGCGGUGAAAUGCGCAGAUACCAGGAGGAACACCGGUGGCGUAGGCGGCUUACUGGACGGCAACUGACGCUGAGGCUCGAAAGCGUGGGGAGCAAACAGG
rnacentral:rRNA from 1 species